UACAGAGGUGUCAAACGUUGUCCGGAAUUAUUGGGCGUAAAGGGCUCGUAGGCGGUUAGUCGCGUCGGGAGUGAAAACUCAGGGCUCAACCCUGAGCGUGCUUCCGAUACGGGCUGACUAGAGGUAUGCAGGGGAGAACGGAAUUCCUGGUGUAGCGGUGGAAUGCGCAGAUAUCAGGAGGAACACCGGUGGCGAAGGCGGUUCUCUGGGCAUUACCUGACGCUGAGGAGCGAAAGCAUGGGGAGCGAACAGG
rnacentral:rRNA from 1 species